GCAUAACGCGAAGAACCUUACCUGGCCUUGACAUGCACGGAAGCUUCCAGAGAUGGGAGUGUGCCUUCGGGAACCGUGACACAGGUGCUGCAUGGCUGUCGUCAGCUCGUGUUGUGAAAUGUUGGGUUAAGUCCCGCAACGAGCGCAACCCUUAUCCUUUGUUGCCAGCGGUUCGGCCGGGAACUCAAAGGAGACUGCCAGUGAUAAACUGGAGGAAGGUGGGGAUGACGUCAAGUCAUCAUGGCCCUUACGAGUAGGGCUACACACGUGCUACAAUGGCGUAUACAAAGAGAAGCGACCUCGCGAGAGCAAGCGGACCUCAUAAAGUACGUCGUAGUCCGGAUUGGAGUCUGCAACUCGACUCCAUGAAGUCGGAAUCGCUAGUAAUCGUAGAUCAGAAUGCUACGGUGAAUACGUUCCC
rnacentral:rRNA from 1 species